rnacentral:rRNA from 1 species
UACGUAGGGGGCGAGCGUUGUCCGGAUUUAUUGGGCGUAAAGCGCGCGCAGGCGGUUCAUUAAGUCUGGUGUGAAAGCUCCCGGCUCACCUGGGAGAGGGCACUGGAGACUGGUGGACUGGAGCGAGGCAGAGGCCGGUGGAAUUCCCGGUGUAGUGGUGAAAUGCGUAGAUAUCUGGAGGAACACCGGUGGCGAAGGCGGCAUCCUGGACCGAGAUUGACGCUGAUGCGCGAAAGCCAGGGGAGCAAACGGG